rnacentral:ncRNA from 1 species
GUUUUGGUGUGACCGCUGCGGUGUCAAUCGUCUGUAGACGACUUAGGUACCUGUCGUGGUGUCGUAAUUAGUAGAGCAGCCACCACACUGCGAUCUAUUGAGGCUUAGCCAUUGACCGGGAGGUUUGU